UCCAGACUCCUACGGGAGGCAGCAGUGGGGGGUAUUGGACAAUGGGGGAAACCCUGAUCCAGCGACGCCGCGUGAGUGAAGAAGUAUUUCGGUAUGUAAAGCUCUGUCAGCAGGGAAGAAAGAAAUGACGGUACCUGACCAAGAAGCCCCGGCUAACUACGUGCCAGCAGCCGCGGUAAUACGUAGGGGGCAAGCGUUAUCCGGAUUUACUGGGUGUAAAGGGAGCGCAGACGGCAGUGCAAGUCUGGAGUGAAAGCCCGGGGCCCAACCCCGGAACUGCUCUGGAAACUGUGCGGCUAGAGUACUGGAGGGGCAGGCGGAAUUCCUAGUGUAGCGGUGAAAUGCGUAGAUAUUAGGAGGAACACCAGUGGCGAAGGCGGCCUGCUGGACAGUAACUGACGUUGAGGCUCGAAAGCGUGGGGAGCAAACAGGAUUAGAUACCCUCGUACA
rnacentral:rRNA from 1 species